AUUGGUUUGAGCAGAAUAUGUACUGUGUCCCAUACUUAGUCGUUUGAAAAUCUCUGUUUCUUUUCCUAGGGUCAUAUAUUUGCUGGUGAUAAUCCGUACCAUGGAUAUCUUAUACCAACGGUUGCUCACUCCAUUGUUAUAAAUAUUCUGAACACAAUUUAUAGGUCAAUAGCUAGCCGAUGUACAAACUUUGAAAAUCACAGGUUAGUAUAGUCUUCUUUAAAGUUAAUUGGUGUAUAAUUCACCGACUCUCUAUCCGACCGUGAAUACAAUAAGCUUUCCAAAAACGCAACAUGGUUU
rnacentral:lncRNA from 1 species